rnacentral:lncRNA from 1 species
CCCAGGCACCGGGCUUGGCCAGAGCUUUUGGGGUUCCCCGGCAGCAGCACUGCGGGGCGCACUGGGACCCUCCGCAGUACGGUGAAAACUAGCUCCACUCGGCCAUGCUUCUGCUGCCCUUCCCUUUUAGAUCUGGGGAACCUUCUCUCUUGUCGCUGCCUCCUCUUCCUCCGGUGGCCCCCCUCCCCUUUAUGGGGCAGAAUUUGCUGGUGCCUGGGAUCGACCCCGCAGGCGAGGCUUUCCUCUGGUUGUGAGGACCUGCUGUGAGAUGUACUUGCAGAAUGCUUUUCAACUGUUGUGGGCUGUGCGUUUGCAAAUAGAUGGAGUAAUCUAAAAUGUUUGGGUUCUACUUUGAUCUCAUUAAGAAUGAUGACUACAGAAAGA